CAAUAGCGUAUAUUAAAGCUGUUGCGGUUAAAAAGCUCGUAGUUGGAUUUCUGUCAAGGACAACUGGUCCGCCCUCCGGGUGAGCACAUAGUUUGGUCUUGACAUCUUGCUGGAAGCUGUUGCUGCACUUGGCUGUGUGGCGCAGUGUUCAGCACUUUCACUUUGAGGAAAUUGGAGUGUUUCAAGCAGGCACAUGCCUUUGGACACAGUAGCAUGGAAUAAUUAGAUUGGGCUUUUGCUCCAAUUUGUCGGUUUCUGGAGCUGAGGUGAGUAUUAAUGGGGAUUGUUGGGGGCAUCCGAAUUUAGCCGUCAGAGGUGAAAUUCUUGGAUCUGCUAAAGACGGACAACUGCGCAAGCGUUUGCCCAGGAUGUUUNCAUUGA
rnacentral:rRNA from 1 species